GUUUCGAUAGCUCAGGUGGAUUAGAGCUUCAGAUUGCAAAACUGCUUGUUAUCUGGAGGUCGCGGGUUCGAGUCCCGCUCGGAACU